GACGAACGCUGGCGGCGUGCUUAACACAUGCAAGUCGAACGGAAAGGCCCUGCUUUUGUGGGGUGCUCGAGUGGCGAACGGGUGAGUAACACGUGAGUAACCUGCCCUUGACUUUGGGAUAACUUCAGGAAACUGGGGCUAAUACCGGAUAGGAGCUCCUGCUGCAUGGUGGGGGUUGGAAAGUUUCGGCGGUUGGGGAUGGACUCGCGGGUUAUCAGCUUGUUGGGGGGGUAGUGGCUUACAAAGGCUUUGACGGGUAGCCGGCCUGAGAGGGUGACCGGCCACAUUGGGACUGAGAUACGGCCCAGACUCCUAUGGGAGGCAGCAGUGGGGAAUAUUGCACAAUGGGCGGAAGCCUGAUGCAGCAACGCCGCGUGCGGGAUGACGGCCUUCGGGUUGUAAACCGCUUUCGCCUGUGACGAAGCGUGAGUGACGGUAAUGGGUAAAGAAGCACCGGCUAACUACGUG
rnacentral:rRNA from 1 species